UACAGAGGUCUCAAGCGUUGUUCGGAUUCAUUGGGCGUAAAGGGUGCGUAGGCGGCGCGGUAAGUCGGGUGUGAAAUCUCGGAGCUUAACUCCGAAACUGCAUUCGAUACUGCCGUGCUUGAGGACUGGAGAGGAGACUGGAAUUCCUGGUGUAGCGGUGAAAUGCGCAGAUAUCAGGAGGAACGCCAGUGGCGAAGGCGGCUCACUGGUCCGGUACUGACGCUGAGGUGCGAAAGCGUGGGGAGCAAACAGG
rnacentral:rRNA from 1 species